CCGUCUCUCAGACACUGUGUCUCAGUGAAGGGUAUUCUCCGUAACCAGCUAUAGCUUAAUAUGAUUUGUCAACUCAGUCCUUCUCUACUACCCAUGAGGAAACAUUCCUUUUUCUCCUAAUCAUUACUGAUGUUUUUUUUUGUCUGCCUCAACAUUCAAUUUCUCCGCUGGCAUGUUGAAGCUGUCAAUCAAACCUGUGGAAGGUACUAUCAAGAUGCACUGAGAGACAGAGAGAGUAGGAUAAGUUUUAGUUCAGCUCAAAAGGCACCUUUUUUUCAGAUCUCGGAUUCAUUCACCUUUUGAUUGAGACUAUAUACUAUGGUAAAUUAAACUAUGAAGACAGUGGUGUUACGGCAAAGGAUUUUUCUUACCCAAACACAAGAUCCAGGAUUUUUUAUUUAUCUCAAUUGAAAUGCACAGGAUCACCAGAUUCCCUGAAGGAUUUGUGUGGACUUUUUUGACUCUAGACAUACCUGCGGUAUAUGUGAAGUUUGGGGACCAGAGUGAGCUAGGUGAUGGUUCAACGGGAUAACGGAGCUACAUGCUAAACCUUUCUGUUCAGGCUGCCAGUCUGUCUGCAGCUUACAAUCAAGCGAUGACCACGGUAUCCAUGGAGCCCCUGCUGGUCCUGAUGGAGCGGAUCCCCAACGCCACCGACCCGCCUUUAGACUCCACCCAUUCCUCUCCUGAAGACACCGCCGCCACCUUCACAAUAGGCUGUAUUCUCUCCCUCAUGUGUCUGGUCGGCGUCACCGGAAACAUCUACACCCUCGUGGUCAUGUGUCACUCCAUGCGUUCCGCGGCGUCCAUGUACAUUUACAUCAUCAACUUAGCCCUGGCUGAUCUCCUCUAUCUGUUGACCAUCCCGUUUGUGGUCUGCACGUAUUUCCUGAAAGGUUGGUAUUUCGGCGAUGUUGGGUGCAGGAUUCUAAUCAGCAUGGAUUUUCUGACGAUGCACGCCAGCAUUUUCACGCUGACCAUCAUGAGCACCGAGAGAUACUUUGCCGUGCUGAAACCGCUGGACACAGUCAAGCGGUCCAAGAGCUACCGCAAAGCCAUUGCGGUGCUUGUAUGGGUAGCUUCCCUGGUCCUGACUUUACCCAUGAUCCUCAGCAUUCAGAUGAUGAUGGUGGGGAGCAAGGCCAUGUGCCAGCCGACCAUCUCACCGCUGUCCUAUAAGGUGUACAUCACCUUCCUGUUCUGUACCAGCAUUGUGGCUCCGGGGAUGAUCAUUGGCUUUCUAUACAUCGGGCUGGCUCGUACCUACUGGAUCUCUCAGACAGAAACCUUCAAACAGACCAAGAAACUACCCAACCAAAAGGUCCUCUAUCUGAUCCUCACAAUUGUGCUGCUGUUCUGGGCUUGUUUCCUGCCUUUCUGGAUCUGGCAGCUCCUGGGUCAGUUCCACCCUUCCAUCCACCUCUCCAACAAGGCCAAGCGCAACAUCAACUACUUGACCACCUGUCUCACCUACUCCAACAGCUGCAUCAACCCUUUCCUCUACACGCUGCUCACCAAGAACUAUAAGGAGUACCUGCGGAAGCACCAGCGCACCUGGACCGCGGGCAGCUACUUCAACCGAUGGAACCGGUUCCAGCGCUCGCCCAGGAGGUCGCUGUCCUCCAGCAGCCAGCAGUGCACGGAGAGUUUCGUGCUCACGCACACGCACACGCCGUCGCAGCGCACCACCCACAACAGCAGCCUGUGAGGGACUAAAGUGCGCCUGAUCGCGUUUCACUCCAUUGCAUUGGCUUGGCAGGAGAAAACAGUCCUGCCCGACUCGUUUGGAGGUUGAAGGACAUUGCACCCUGACACCUUGCAGAUAUAAAUAACUUAUUGUGAACCUUCCAGGCACCAGGAUAAUCACCAUCUCCCAGGAUACUAUUCAGUAGGAUACAACAUCACAAUGUUAGCUAGAAAUAGAUUCACCCAUGUUAUUGUUUAUCAUGCAGAUUUGUCAGGACAUUGUAAUUUAAGAAGCUCAUUCUAAAAUACAGACUUGAUUUCUGUGUGCAAGUCUUCAAUUUAGACCACAAUUAGUUGAAUUAGUUGCUAGUGUACCUGUAAACUCCUGUCCUGUGUAUACAAAAAUAACAUGAUGACAUCAUCUACAGCCCUCCUGUACUGAACAAGUUUAUGAAUGUUGGAGCUUAAUCUGUUUGACAUGUCCCUCACUAGGGAAUUACUUAUUUUAUACAAUGGACUGUGUUUUAAGGACUCAUGCACAGAUGCAGGAAAACCAAUAAAAAUGUUAACAUUUAUUCAACA